rnacentral:rRNA from 1 species
AGAGUUUGAUCCUGGCUCAGAUUGAACGCUGGCGGCAGGCCUAACACAUGCAAGUCGAGCGGUAGAGAGAAGCUUGCUUCUCUUGAGAGCGGCGGACGGGUGAGUAAUGCCUAGGAAUCUGCCUGGUAGUGGGGGAUAACGUUCGGAAACGGACGCUAAUACCGCAUACGUCCUACGGGAGAAAGCAGGGGACCUUCGGGCCUUGCGCUAUCAGAUGAGCCUAGGUCGGAUUAGCUAGUUGGUGAGGUAAUGGCUCACCAAGGCGACGAUCCGUAACUGGUCUGAGAGGAUGAUCAGUCACACUGGAACUGAGACACGGUCCAGACUCCUACGGGAGGCAGCAGUGGGGAAUAUUGGACAAUGGGCGAAAGCCUGAUCCAGCCAUGCCGCGUGUGUGAAGAAGGUCUUCGGAUUGUAAAGCACUUUAAGUUGGGAGGAAGGGCAGUUACCUAAUACGUGAUUGUUUUGACGUUACCGACAGAAUAAGCACCGGCUAACUCUGUGCCAGCAGCCGCGGUAAUACAGAGGGUGCAAGCGUUAAUCGGAAUUACUGGGCGUAAAGCGCGCGUAGGUGGUUAGUUAAGUUGGAUGUGAAAUCCCCGGGCUCAACCUGGGAACUGCAUUCAAAACUGACUGACUAGAGUAUGGUAGAGGGUGGUGGAAUUUCCUGUGUAGCGGUGAAAUGCGUAGAUAUAGGAAGGAACACCAGUGGCGAAGGCGACCACCUGGACUGAUACUGACACUGAGGUGCGAAAGCGUGGGGGGCAAACAGGAUUAGAUACCCUGGUAGUCCACGCCGUAAACGAUGUCAACUAGCCGUUGGGAGCCUUGAGCUCUUAGUGGCGCAGCUAACGCAUUAAGUUGACCGCCUGGGGAGUACGGCCGCAAGGUUAAAACUCAAAUGAAUUGACGGGGGCCCGCACAAGCGGUGGAGCAUGUGGUUUAAUUCGAAGCAACGCGAAGAACCUUACCAGGCCUUGACAUCCAAUGAACUUUCUAGAGAUAGAUUGGUGCCUUCGGGAACAUUGAGACAGGUGCUGCAUGGCUGUCGUCAGCUCGUGUCGUGAGAUGUUGGGUUAAGUCCCGUAACGAGCGCAACCCUUGUCCUUAGUUACCAGCACGCUAUGGUGGGCACUCUAAGGAGACUGCCGGUGACAAACCGGAGGAAGGUGGGGAUGACGUCAAGUCAUCAUGGCCCUUACGGCCUGGGCUACACACGUGCUACAAUGGUCGGUACAGAGGGUUGCCAAGCCGCGAGGUGGAGCUAAUCCCACAAAACCGAUCGUAGUCCGGAUCGCAGUCUGCAACUCGACUGCGUGAAGUCGGAAUCGCUAGUAAUCGCGAAUCAGAAUGUCGCGGUGAAUACGUUCCCGGGCCUUGUACACACCGCCCGUCACACCAUGGGAGUGGGUUGCACCAGAAGUAGCUAGUCUAACCUUCGGGGGGACGGUUACCACGGUGUGAUUCAUGACUGGGGUGGAGUCGUAACAAGGUAGCCGUAGGGGAACCUGCGGCUGGAUCACCUCCUU